rnacentral:rRNA from 1 species
UACGGAGGAUCCAAGCGUUAUCCGGAUUUAUUGGGUUUAAAGGGUGCGUAGGCGGCGUUGUAAGUCAGUGGUGAAAGUUUGCGGCUUAACCGUAAAAUUGCCAUUGAUACUGCAGUGCUUGAGUAUAGAUGAGGUGGGCGGAAUGUGUCAUGUAGCGGUGAAAUGCAUAGAUAUGACACAGAACACCGAUUGCGAAGGCAGCUCACUAAACUAUAACUGACGCUGAGGCACGAAAGCGUGGGGAUCAAACAGG